rnacentral:misc_RNA from 1 species
CUUCAAUUAAAUUUACUUGUGGAAGAUCAAUCUGUUGACAUAAAAGCUUCAAUCGACUCAAAUUUACUUGUUUUAUCGCACAUCAAACAGCGUGAAUUCUCAAAGAGAAGGUAGUUCAAAUUGCUCUUCUGAAAGUUGUGCCUUUCUAAUGAAAAUGUUGGAUGCCUAUGGUGGCUUAUCUUUGCUUAUCAUGUUAUUCAUCAGUUUCAACAUCAGUUGGUCCAGAGGUUGCUCGGAUGAAGAGAGAAGAGCUAUCCAAGAAAUCUUAAAUUCUAUGGGCUACCAAUCUAUAUCUUCUCUACCAGAAAGCUACACUGAUGAUUGUUGCCAGUGGGAGGGAGUUUUUUGCAGUCUCACAAGUUCCCAUGUGGUCAGAAUUUUCUUUGACCCUUUAGGGGAAGGAGAAGGAGUGUUAUGGUAUCCUGAUAUGAAACUUUUUGCUCAAAUCAAAGAACUGCAGGAAUUACAUCUCACAAGAAAUGGCAUUGGUGGACUGCUUAACCCUGAAGGUAAGAGACUGAGAGCACUUUGUUCAUUAAGUAAAAUCUUCUUUGCUUUUGCAUGACUUUUCUUUUUAUCAUUAGGAUUCCAUUGUCUACGGUGAUCAAACUAUAUGCUUCUUAAAAACUGUGAUUUCUUUACGUGUUCAUUUUUAUAUUCAUAAUUCCCGAGUCAAGGAUUUGCUCGUUUCAUUUACAUGUUUAAUUCAUAAUUAUGCAGCAUUGUGCACACUCAUGAACUUGAAACAUUUGGAUCUCUCAAUUAACUUUAUUGAAGAUGAUAUGCCCUCAUGUUUGGCUAACAUGUCAUCGCUUAGAAUUUUGAAGUUGUCAAAGAACCAGUUCCAGGGUGACCUCACCAUUUUUAGCAACCUAUCAAACAUCGAGGAGAUUGAUGUUUCUUAUAACCUUUUUCAAGGCCUGAUCCCACUUUCCACUUUUGCCAAUCUCUCAAAGCUUAGUUUUCUUGAUCUUUCAUACAACACUCACUUAGAAGUUGAAUCUGAAUCUCCAACUUGGCAUCCUUCUUUCCAAAUACAACAUUUGUUUUUGGCAGGAUGCAAUCUCAACAAUAGAAAUAGCAACCGUGUCCCUCUAUUCCUUUCCACUCAGUACAACUUACAGACUUUAGAUUUAUCUAACAACUUCCUUGAAGGACCCUUUCCUGCUUGGAUGCUCCAUAAUGUUUCUUCUGCAUUGAGGUUGAGGGGCAAUUCAUUUGUUGGUCACUUUCCUGAUGCUUACCAUAAUAGAGAACUGAAGCUCGCUGAGCUGGACGUCUCCUGCAACCUUUUUUAUGGGAAAUUGCCCUCAAACAUAGCCAUCUUUCUUCCGAACCUGUAUGCAUUCAAUGCAUCCUCAUGUGGAUUUACUGGUAUCAUCCCAGCAUCAUUAGGAAAAUUGAAAGCUCUAGAGCGCUUGGACUUGUCUAGUAAUCACUUCGAUGGAUUUAUACCAAGUGGCCUAACCAAAAACUCAGCCCUAUGGUACUUAAAUUUGUCUAACAAUCGCUUAGGUGGUGGGUUGCUUCCAGAAGAUUGCAAUAUGACACAACUGAGAUGGUUGCUACUGCACCAUAAUUCCUUCCUCGGAAAUAUGCCCCAUUGCUUGUCAAACAGUCGGUCUAUGUGGAUGCUGGAUAUCCGACACAACAAUCUGUCAGGAAUGAUUUCAAGUGGAAUGCCAAUUUUCUCAGAAUUAGGUGCACUCCUAUUGAGAGGAAACCAUUUCAGUGGAUACAUUCCAGGACAAUUAUGUCAAAUGCCAAAGUUGCAGUUCUUGGACCUCUCCAACAAUCACUUCUCUGGGAUCAUUCCUUAUUGCCUCAGUAACAAUUUGUUUUGGACAAAGAAGUUACAGGCAAACUCUUGGGUCCCAAUUGAUUUUACCACCAAAGGAUAUGCAUAUUCUUUCCAGGGCAUUCCGCUAACUUUAAUGACAGGCAUUGAUCUAUCAGCUAACCAAUUGGCAGGUGCCAUUCCAUACCAACUGGGCCAAUUACAUGAACUUCAUUCCUUGAACUUAUCCAAUAAUCUUUUGACUGGCCAUAUUCCAAAAUCCUUCGAGAAAAUCACGAGCUUGGAAAGCCUAGAUCUUUCCUACAACAGGUUAACAGGGCAAAUUCCUCAGGAAAUUAGCCACAUGAGUUCUCUUACAACUCUUCGCCUCGCGUUUAAUGAUCUUUCAGGCAGGAUCCCAUUUGAAGGACAACUUUCGACAUUCUCUGAGAGUAGCUACGUUGGCAAUCCGAAGCUGUGUGGAGAUCCGUUAGAGAGAAAAUGCUCACAGAACACCAAUGAUGUCAACCAAGAUGAUGGAAAUGAAGAAAAAGAAGAAAAGAACUUGGAGGAGGAUCAUAGAGUCAUCGACGAACCUCUCUUCUUCUAUUCAUUUGUGUUCAUGUCUUAUGCUCUUGGAUUUUGGAGUGUCGUUGCCCCUUUAUGCUUCAGCAGGAAUUGGAGGAAAAAAUAUUACACUGCCAUUGAUGGAUGCGUGAAUUAUGUGAGAUGUUCUAAAUAGUUGGACUGACUGUGUUUUAUGCUAUGGCUGGGCUUCUUUUUCAAUCUUAAAACAAGAUACUAUUCUCAUGUGUACUGUCGAAUUCCGUAAAAUGAUAAAUGACUACAAGCUAAUUGCUGAACAAUAAAUAUAUGAAUGAAUAAACAAUUCAGUGGUUGUGCU